rnacentral:rRNA from 1 species
GACGAACGCUGGCGGCGUGCUUAACACAUGCAAGUCGAACGGAAGGGCCUCUUUCGGGGGGUACUCGAGUGGCGAACGGGUGAGUAACACGUGAGUAACCUGCCCUUGACUUUGGGAUAACUUCAGGAAACUGGGGCUAAUACCGGAUAGGAGCUCCUGCUGCAUGGUGGGGGUUGGAAAGUUUCGGCGGUUGGGGAUGGGCUCGCGGCUUAUCAGCUUGUUGGUGGGGUAGUGGCUUACCAAGGCUUUGACGGGUAGCCGGCCUGAGAGGGUGACCGGCCACAUUGGGACUGAGAUACGGCCCAGACUCCUACGGGAGGCAGCAGUGGGGAAUAUUGCACAAUGGGUGGAAGCCUGAUGCAGCAACGCCGUGUGCGGGAUGACGGCCUUCGGGUUGUAAACCGCUUUCGCUCAUGACGAAGCUUUGUGUGACGGUAGUGGGUAAAGAAGCACCGGCUAACUACGUG